GUGCUGGGCGAUAGUGCUACUAUCAUAUCACGAUUGAUAGUUCUUAAAAUUUUAACGAUAGUGAUACUAUCACGAUAUUAACAAUUAAUUUUAAUAUAUUUAUUUAAUGUAACAAAAUAGGCAAAAGGAUGAAAGGUAGAUGAAUAUUUGAGGUUUUCAGCUAGAAGGACAUUUUCUGGAUGUAGACAAGCUCUUUUUUUAGUACCUAUAUUCCCUGCAGUACUAUAAAUACACAUUCAGAGGGAACUGAUGCCACCGGUAUACAUAAAUAUUUCCUAGCUAUUAUUGGAUAACAAAAGAAAUUUGUGUUCCACCAUGCCAAAGGAUUGUAUAUCAUAUAUAUCUAAGCUAAUAGGCUCUAAUAUCUUGAAAUUUCUGCAUGAGCCUUUUGGAGAUUAUUCAAGCACUCAGAAAUUUUACCAUCAACAGCAGGAAAACUAAAAUACUUCCAUACAACACUAGUAGCACCAGGUAAAGGCAAUAUUUCUGUUUCUUUUUGGAGCAGUACUGCUACUAAUGAUAACAUCUUCCAUUUUUACAGCUGAACUAACUCAUUAAAGUAACCACGUGUUUGAUAAUGCGCAUGCGUACAUGUACCACGUGUCAAUCGUGAUAGUGUUGAUUCAACUAUCACGAUAGUGA